CUGAUGAAACAUGUCGACUUCAAGCAGGGGAGCCUGUCCAACUGUUACAGCAAUUUAUAAAAGUGGUGAUAAAUAAAAGGAAUAAUUUAUGGUAUUUCCAAAGAAUCUAAAUGAUGGAACAAAUGAAGAUGUAAAGCAAAACCCUAUUCAACCAUAAGCUUGCAAUUGUAAAAUAUUGAACUUUAAGCCUUCACCAGCCGGUUGCUAGC